AGCUCCAAUAGCGUAUAUUAAAGUUGUUGCGGUUAAAAAGCUCGUAGUUGGAUCUCGGCGGGUAGGGCGUGGUGCAUUAUUUGAUGUCACUGCUCCAUUUACCCGUGUUUUUGGCGGAGGUGGCGGGGUGCUCUUAACCAAGUGUCCCGUCGCGCCGCCAGGUUUACUUUGAAAAAAUUAGAGUGCUCAAAGCAGGCUUUGCAAGCUUGAAUAGUCGUGCAUGGAAUAAUAGAAUAGGACGUCGUUUCUAUUUUGUUGGUUUUCGGAAAUCGACGUAAUGAUUAGUAGGGACAGUCGGGGGCAUUAGUAUUCAGACGACAGAGGUGAAAUUCUUGGACCGUCUGAAGACUAACUACUGCGAAAGCAUUUGCCAAGAAUGUUUUCA
rnacentral:rRNA from 1 species